AUUACCACUGAUUUCAUAUGAUAUUACAGUAACACUUGUUUGAUAUUUUUUCCUUAUUUUGAAUAACAUAAAUAAUUUGCUUUCAAUCAUCAUCGGAGGUGGAGGGGAGAGGAGAGAGAGAAUUUGUUUUUAUUUUGUUUUUUGUUUUUUUUUUCAUUUUUAAUGGUUUAAUAAGAUUUUUGGGCUGAUUUGCACUUUUUAAAAAAGUUUGGGCAUAUUGUUGCAAUUUGUUCUUUAUUUUUC
rnacentral:lncRNA from 1 species